rnacentral:lncRNA from 1 species
UGGAUGGGAAGCUGAUUGAACGGAGAUGACAAGCAGCCAUUUGUUUCACUUCUAAAGAAGAAAGCCUACCAGGAAUGUGAAUAUGCAGGUAGUCUUGUUUUCUGUUUAACCCACUCCAUUGGGCAUCUUAUAUAUGUAUUAUGUAAGAGCAAAAGAAAUAGGAAUCAAGCUUCCUGAUCUACAUUAGCUGUCAUGUGCUGAGUUUUGCUACUGUCCAAGCAAUGUCUCAAGAUUGUUGUGUUGUGAUUAAGCAAUCUGAUUAAACAAGCACUUGAUUAUUGAUUAUAAUAUUGUCACAAUAAAUACCAUGCCUCUGACGUUCCAAUUCAUUGAGAUAACCAUCAAAAAGCUAUUUAAAUAGCAUGAAACUUGGAACCAUGCUUGCAUAUUAUGAUUCUAUUAACAUAAUCAUAAUAAUAGUUUAAUGUUAUUAUUUGAUAAAGUUGUUUGGUCAUUUGUUUACAUGUGCAGAAUUUGAUGACCUUCAAUAGAAUAUUAACAUCCACAAGUAAGGUGCAGCUUCCUUCCCAGACAAACAAGAACUGAUUAUUGUUUUUUCAUGUAUUAUCUGCACGCCAUUGGACAAUGAGAUUCUCGACACUUGACAAACUCUAGCUGUGAUGGCUGGUGUCUAGGAACAGGUAGAAUCUUGACAGCCUCUUUUUGCUUUAUAUUAGGCACAUUCUAUGCAUGGUGUAGAUAAAUAAUUUAUACUGAAAUCAUAGAAGAGAUGAUAAGAGUCUGGUUGACCAAAAGGGGACCAUGAUCCAUCCAUAUUGCUGCAGAGAAAGUGAAUCUGUCCUGUUUUUUCCCCAACCGUGGCAAUAAGAAAAAGAUGAGAGCAAAGUUUUGAAAUGCACUCCAUCUUUUUUAAUUAAAGAAAUGGCAAUAUGAUCCUAUUUUCAUAUAACUGAGUAACAAGGGUAGUAUAAAUAAUUUAGUCAUUUAAUUAAAUAAAAGAGAUGCAGUGAAGUGUAUUUAUAAAAUUAGAUCCAAUUGAUUAAACGAAAACUCCUACAAAAAAAUUCUAUGGGCUUUUUAGUGAUCAAGAAAUUCUUUUGGUUUUAUAUUUCCAAUACUUUAAUUUAAGUCUUGACUAUCAAGAAAAUCUAUAUAAUUUGGCUCUCAUUAGCUUCUAGUCUGAUCUGAUUUGCUCCAUUAACAGCAUAACUAAUUAUUUUUAAUGAUCAAGAAAAGAAGCUAUUGGAUUUGAGACAAAAUGCAAUGGCAUACACAAGAACAUGUUUGUGCUCAAAAUCUUUUGAUUGGUGAAAAGGAAAAUUCAUUUUCUCUAAGAAAUCAUAUACAUGCAUUUUUUUUCUAGUCAAGAUGUCAUGUAAAUUCAACAAAAUAACAUAAUUUGAACCUUUUCUUCUCUUUUUUCCUUUUGUUUUUCCUUUUUUUUUUGCCUGCAGUGAAGUGUGAAAUUGCAAUUGCAUCUUGAAUGGAAUAUGAAAUUCUGAAGAGAAUAUAUUUUUGAAGUGUGGAAGGCAAAUUGAUGGAAAAAUGAGCAAUCUUAACAUGUUAGUAUUGAAUUCAUUCUCUAUCUGUACAUAUCUACAAUUUGGAGUAGAACUCUAUGAAACAAAAUUGUGGUGAACAGUUGAUUGAAGCAACACCACUAAUGAUUCAGAAUGUUGAGAAGGGACACUCUGGUUUUCACCAAUAGCCUAUAUAGGCAUUCCAGCUCCUCUUCUGCCUCUUGCAUGCUAGACUCAAAUGCUUCCAAGUCUUUAAGAAGGCUUUGAAUUUGGGAGAGACUGAUGUCUUUGCUUGACUUCAGGAUAAGCAAUUCAGCAUCAAUCUUCUCUACUUCAUUUUCUUCAGUUUCCACAUCAUAUGAAACACGCUUCGACUGUAGCAAUUUUGGGAUUAGAAACCAGCCAGAGGGCAAUGAUUUUACCUUAGGCUGAGAAAUGAAAGAUAGGAUUGACUUGAACAUCACAAGACUAAUUCUCUGAACUCCUCUUAGCAUGCUGAUCAUGUUCUCCAAAUUGGAGUCCAAUGUUGUUAUUGUAAAAUGCAUCUCCUUUUUCUUCAAGUUUCUUAGACACUUGCUAAUUGCUUUGUUCAACUUCUUUCUAGAUACCAUGUAUGCAUCAACUUCUCUUGUGAAAUAGAGUCUGUGCUUUUUCUUCUGCGGAGAGAUAGUUCAAGUUCUUGCAAACAUUCCUUCAUCUGUGAGAAUAAAUCUCUUGUUGUAUCACAUAUAUCCAAUAGCUCCAGAGAUCCAUUCACUGCGUCUCCUAUGCACUGGUUUUGCCUCUCAUUGGAGAUUGUCUGUUGGACAAAUGACAGUUGAAGAAAAUCAUCAACAGACUCGAAUAAAUUCUUUAGGCCAUUCAAUUUGUGUCCUAUUGAUGAGGUUUCUGAUGUCCUCAACUUGCAUAACUGCUCUUCAAUGUUUACUCUUAGAGGAUGAGAUCUAGAAGGUAAGCUGAUUGAUCGGAGAUGACUAGCUGCCAUUUUUUUCCCUUCUAUUGAGGAAAGCCUAUAGAGAAUUUGAAUGUUGUAAUGGUCUUGGCUGUUGUUCAAACCAACACAUUGAACCUGUUAUAUAUGGAUGAGCAAUCGAUCAUAAGAAGAAUACCAUCUUCUUGAUCUACAUUAGCUGUCAUGUCCUGAGUUUUUGAGACAAUCUUGGCAACCUUUUGUCUGUGCAGUGCUGUUGGUGAGCUGUGAUUUAAAGAAUUGGGCGAUUAUUGGUUAAGUAUUGUUAUACAAACUACAAUUUCUGCGAGGUUCCAACAUCGAGAUCUCCAAGUAAUUAUAUAGCAUUGAUCUUGAAGACAAUGCAUGUAAUGACUCGAUUAAUAUAACCAAAUUAUUAAUUUAAAAUGGCAUUUGAUUGGGUUGUUAAUUUCCUGCUUUUGUUUGCAUGUGCAGAAGCCGAAGGACUGCAAUAAAAAUACUCAUCCACGAGCUGCAGCAUGCAGUUUCAUUAAUAAUUAAUGAGGCUUCUGAACAACUCUCGCUGCCAUGCGGUCCAGGGGUAAGUAGAAUCUUGACAGUCUUGGUUUCUUUUGAAUUCAGACACAGUCCAUGGAUGAUGGAGAUGUAUAAAUAGAAAUUAAAUUAAUAAUGCAACCACGCACAAAGGGGUUUAGCUUAGAUGAAUAAAAUGUUAUUAGAAUUUGGAAGACCAUAAGUGAAGCAUGAUCCACCUAUAUAUGGCCGGAUAUGCAGUUUCCCUGGUUUUUCAUUCAAAUGAAACUGAUGGAGAAGUAAUCAUAACUCCGCAGGCAAUGGUGUGAUUGGAUUAUUCAUGCUUGCUUGCCUUGUGAUAGAGACAUUAGAGUAGUUAUUCUCUGCCAUUUGGAGUUAGCAACCCAUUACAAAUUUCAUCACUAUUUUUUUUGUAGAAAACUUUUUAGUAUUGAAAAUCAGCUUUUUUCAUAAAAAAAAAACCAGUAAUUUAGAGAAACACUAUGAAUAUAAUUGAAGUGCUCAAUUAUAUGAGUAAAAAAGAAUGCAACAAAAGCCUAUAGUACAAUUCAAAAUAUGUACUACAAAUUCAAAAAUCAAAAUUAAUUAACAAUUCAAGGGCUCAAAUUAAAUUGGAAUGCAUGGUAUUAUCAUGGUUUUUUUAUUGCUCUUGUAGUCGAGAAUAAUGGAAACAGGUUUGUGACGGCUGUAUUAUAAUGGCAAUGGCCUAUCGCUAUUCAAAUUCUUUUGAAUAAUUUGCAAAGUUCAUGAUAUGAAGUUCAAUUCCUUGAGUGUGUUUGAGUCUGCAACUGGAUUUGGAUAUAUCAGUUGUUUGUUUCGCUGGAUCAACACUGACCAAAAGCAUCUGUACUUUUCUGUUUAUUUUUUUUUACUCUUUAUCUCUGGAUAUGAAAUCCCAUUAUCCUAGUUCAUCAUAUCCUGUUAAUUCUCGCAAUAAACUAUACACGUACAUUAAGUCAUGCGUACGUAACUACGUAUGUAGCUUGGAUAUGCUAUUAAUUGGGAAUGAUGUUUUGUAGCAAUUCAGUAGUGUUUACUCUAUUGAUAAUGAUUUUGUUAUGUUGAGAGGGGAGAGAAAGCAAAUUGAUGAAAAUAUUUUGCAAUCUUAGUAUUCUGGAUUGAACUUCAUUCUCUAUCUGUAUAUAUACAAAUAUAUCUACAAUUUGGUGUAUAACUCUAUGAUACAAAAUUGUGGUGAGCAGCUGAUGGAAGCAAUAGCUAAUGAUUCAGAAUGUUGAGAAGGGAAACUCUGGUUUUCACCAAUCGUCUAUAGACGCAUUCCAGAUCCUCUUCUGCCUCUUUAAUGCUCGACUCAAAUGCUUCCAAUUCUUUGAGAAG